UACGUAGGGUGCGAGCGUUGUCCGGAAUUAUUGGGCGUAAAGGGCUCGUAGGCGGUCUGUUGCGUCAGGAGUGAAAACUCGGGGCUUAACCCCGAGCCUGCUUCUGAUACGGGCAGACUAGAGGUAUGCAGGGGAGAACGGAAUUCCUGGUGUAGCGGUGAAAUGCGCAGAUAUCAGGAGGAACACCGGUGGCGAAGGCGGUUCUCUGGGCCUUACCUGACGCUGAGGCGCGAAAGCUAGGGGAGCAAACAGG
rnacentral:rRNA from 1 species